rnacentral:rRNA from 1 species
AUUGAACGCUGGCGGCGUGCUUAACACAUGCAAGUCGAACGCGAAAGGGACUUCGGUCCUGAGUAAAGUGGCGCACGGGUGAGUAACACGUGGAUAAUCUGCCCUUAUGAUUGGAAUAACAGUUGGAAACGGCUGCUAAUACCGGAUACGCUCAAAAUGAACUUUUUGAGGAAAGAUGGCCUCUGCUUGCAUGCUAUCGCAUAAGGAUGAGUCCGCGCCCCAUUAGCUUGUUGGCGGGGUAACGGCCCACCAAGGCAACGAUGGGUAGCCGAUUUGAGAGGAUGAUCGGCCACACUGGAACUGAAACACGGUCCAGACUCCUACGGGAGGCAGCAGUGGGGAAUAUUGCGCAAUGGGCGAAAGCCUGACGCAGCGACGCCGCGUGAGGGAUGAAGGUUUUCGGAUCGUAAACCUCUGUCAGAAGGGAAGAAACUACGCUGUGCUAAUCAGCAGCGUACUGACGGUACCUUCAAAGGAAGCACCGGCUAACUCCGUGCCAGCCGCCGCAGUAA